rnacentral:rRNA from 1 species
UGAGUACGAGAUGCUACGGCAUCGAAGCAGUCUAUGUCAUACUUCCAAGAAAAGCUUGCAAUGUCAUAAACAAAUAAUGCCUGUACCAUAACCGACACAGGUGGGUAGGUAGAGUAUACUAAGGGGCGCGAGAUAACUCUCUCUAAGGAACUCGGCAAAAUGACUCCGUAACUUCGGGAGAAGGAGUGCCUUAUUUUUAUAAGGUUGCAAUAACAAGAUCCAAGCAACUGUUUACCAAAAACACAGGUCUCCGCUAAGUCGUAAGACGAUGUAUGGGGGCUGACGCCUGCCCAGUGCCAGAAGGUUAAAGAAGUUGGUUAGCAUUAGCGAAGCUGAUAACUGAAGCCCUGGUGAACGGCGGCCGUAACUAUAACGGUCCUAAGGUAGCGAAAUUCCUUGUCGGGUAAGUUCCGACCCGCACGAAAGGCGUAAUGAUUUGGAUACUGUCUCGGAGAGGGGCUCGGUGAAAUAGACUUGUCUGUGAAGAUGCGGACUACCUGCACCUGGACAGAAAGACCCUAUGAAGCUUUACUGUAACUUGAGAUUGAAAUUGGACUUUAUCUGCGCAGUAUAGGUGGGAGACGUUGAAAAUAUUCUUGCGGGAAUAUUGGAGUCAUCAGUGAGAUACCACUCUUAUAAUGUUAGAUUUCUAACUUUGUAUCAUUAUCUGGUCAAAGAACAGUUUCAGGCGGGCAGUUUGACUGGGGCGGUCGCCUCCCAAACGGUAACGGAGGCGCACAAAGGUUUCCUCUGAACGUGUAGAAAUCGUAUCUAGAGUGUAAAGGCAUAAGGAAGCUUGACUGUGAGACCUACAAGUCGAGCAGGGACGAAAGUCGGUCUUAGUGAUCUGACGGUGCUGAGUGGAAAGGCCGUCACUCAACGGAUAUAAGUUACUCUAAGGAUAACAGGCUGAUCUCCCCCAAGAGUUCACAUCGACGGGGAGGUUUGGCACCUCGAUGUCGGCUCAUCGCAUCCUGGGGCGGUAGUACGUCCCAAGGGUUGGGCUGUUCGCCCAUGAAAGCGGUACGCGAGCUGGGUUCAGAACGUCGUGAGACAGUUCGGUCCAUAUCCGGUGUAGGCGUUAGAAUAUUGAGAGGAGCCUUCUUUAGUACGAGAGGACCGAGAAGGACAUACCUCUGGUGUACCAGUUAUCGUGCCAACGGUAAACGCUGGGUAGCCAUGUAUGGAGAGGAUAACCGCUGAAAGCAUCUAAGCGGGAAGCCCACCUCAAGAUAAG